rnacentral:rRNA from 1 species
AUUGAACGCUGGCGGCAGGCUUAACACAUGCAAGUCGAGCGGAGAGAAGUAGCUUGCUACUGAUCUUAGCGGCUGACGGGUGAGUAAUGCUUAGGAAUCUGCCUGUUAGUGGGGGACAACAUUCCGAAAGGGAUGCUAAUACCGCAUACGCCCUACGGGGGAAAGCAGGGGAUCUUCGGACCUUGCGAUAGUAGUUGAGCCUAAGUCGGAUUAGCUAGUUGGUGGGGUAAAGGCCUACCAAGGCGACGAUCGGUAGCGGGUCUGAGAGGAUGAUCCCACACACUGGCACUGAGAUACGGGCCAGACUCCUACGGGAGGCAGCAGUAGGAAAUAUUGGACAAUGGGUGCAAGCCUGAUCCAGCCAUGCCGCGUGCAGGAAGAAGGCUUUCUGAGUUGUAAACUGCUUUUGCCAGGGGAUAAAAUGCCCUUGCGAGGGAAAUUGAAGGUACCUGGUGAAUAAGCCACGGCUAACUACGUGCCAGCCGCCGCAGUAACAC